GGGGCCAAAGAUCCUCCCCUCAGUCUGUUCACUUGGAGGGCUGGACUGGACUGGAGCAGUGCCGCUUCCUCCACUACGCUGAGCCUCUCUCUCUCCGCCGCCCGCCACUCUGCCAGCCUGCCCUGCGUCCUUCCCCUCUUCCUUCCAUCGCCCUCGGUCCCGUCCCUUUGCUUUCCAACCUCCCUAACGCCACAGGCCCCUCUCCUUCUCAUUCAGCCCUUUUGCCUUCCUCCCGCCCCACUGAUGGCCGGAGGAAACCUGGUGCCACAAAAAGGCGACUGUAAGAACACACAUCACCUCUGGAGUGACUGCUGGGAUAAUUCUCCUCCUGGCAGAGCUGUGGUUGUUAAGUGUCUGGAGUUGCAUGGUUGGGGUUUUGUGCUGCAGAAGAAUAUUCCAGGAGUCAACAUGUAGCCAGUGACUAUGUUGGACCUGCUGUGGAGAGAGAGUCUCCCUCCAGCACUGAUGGGCCAAGGGUGUGACUGGGCAUAUGCAGUUUCCUGCGUUCCUAACCUAAGCAUGCUGGUGGGGCAAGAACAUUCACUCUCUUCCCUUAGCCCAGGAAUCACCAGGCUUCCGACUGUGAGGCUGCUGCACCUUUAGCACUUGUAGGUACGUACAGCCUGUCACGUGAUGCUCUGCGAGUCUGAACAUUUGCUCCUGCCAACAUUCCUCCAGCUGCACAUCUGUUAAAGAUACAGGAGCCCUGAUAGACUGGAGAGCUGGCCCCUCCUGCUGUGGCCCGGCCACCGACACAGAAAGGUGCUGAGGCUGCGACUUCCCUGGAGCUCCGAACAAGCUGGUGUGUGUGGCCCAGUUGAAAGGGAAAUCAUCACACAUGCUCCAAAGUUACCGACGCAGCCAGCGUCGGCUCCAAGUUAAGAACUGGAUUUUGCCAAAAGCAGCAGCUGAACUCUCCUUUUCCCUCCCACCGCCUUCUGUUUUAUCACAGCUGUAAUUAAAAUGCAGUUGGUUCUCUGUUCCCAUGUCUCCCUGAUAUAAGCCUCUUGAACGUAUCCCAAAAGGCUCCCAUCUGCUCCACUCCGUAAUCGCCCUUGUCCCAAUCGGAUAACUUCAUGCUCAAAUGCCAGGUCCGAGUUCUUUGUCUGAGCAUUGCAGCAACUACGGAUCAAGCCGGGGAUGGGGGACAUUUUCAAGCGGCCUGGUAAAGAAGCCCUUUGCCUGGGCUUCCAAAAAUAUCCAUUUGUUCCUCUGUAUAUACACAUCAUUAUCUAACAUCUGCACUGCAUCCCGCUCUGCAGUCCUUCCCUGGAUUCAUAAGCAAUUCUCUCUCAUAUCGGUGAAUCUACUUCACCUUACAUAUUUGGGUACCAAAAAUUCUGCAGCUAUCCUAAUAAAUUCUCCUGCCUCUUCCUUGCAUUCUCAAAGUCUGCUGGGCCUCUUUGCCCCUUUCCUUAUUACCCAGAGUGCUUUAUGCCAGCACCAGCAAUGUAGAAUAUACCUUGUGCAUUGCUCUGGUGGUGCUAUAUCCUCUUAAUUCAGAAUCCUUUACAGCUUUUCCCCCACGCCUGAACUCCAGCACAGCAUGCUACAUUAUUCAUAAUCACUCAAUGCCCCUAAGCCCCCAGUGCUGCCGUAGUUUGCUCCCUAAGCUGCCAGGACCCUGUUGACUUAGCCCCACUGCUGCAAUCUGUUGCUUAUAAGCCC